rnacentral:miRNA from 1 species
CGCGUGUGUGUGGGUGCGCGCAUGUGUACGUGUGAGCUUCACGUAAAAUCAACGUUCAUAUAUAUAUAUAUAUAUAUAUAUAUAUAUAUGAACGUUGAUUUUACGUGAAGCUCACACGUACACAUGCGCGCACCCACACACACGCGAA